rnacentral:tRNA from 1 species
GCUGGGGUGGCGAAAUUGGUAGACGCAUCAGCCUUAGGAGCUGACGGGGUAACCCAUUGGAGGUUCGAGUCCUCUCCCCAGCA